GGCUUUCUUGCAUUGGUACACAGGUGAAGGAAUGGACGAAAUGGAGUUCACUGAAGCUGAAAGCAACAUGAACGACCUCGUGUCUGAGUAUCAGCAAUAUCAAGAUGCUACUGCUGAUGAAGAAGGUGAAUAUGAGGAUGAAGACUACGAUGUGCAGGAAGAGAACUGAAGAAACACAGUACAUUUUAUUAUAUUUUGUGUAAUAUGUUUCUGAUCUCCCUGGGUUUUGAGCAUUUCUUUUUCUUGUAUGUGUUCCAUAUUUUGUUUACACUUUGCUGUGAAUUGAAUGCUGGAGAGAGUGAUGAGCGUGGGUUUGUACUUUGUAGUUGCAAUAUUGCUUAAAUAUUUGUUCCAUCUUUUGUCGUUUUUGAUCUAGAAUUUCUCAAGAAGUGAAGAACGGCUUGUAUAAAUGUUUAUUUAUUGUUUUAGUAGUACUGAGUAUUGGUUAAA
rnacentral:misc_RNA from 1 species